rnacentral:ncRNA from 1 species
UUCAUCAAGAGCGGAGGAGGGACUGGCCCUGUGAAUCCGCGGCAACCAUUCGAAAGAAAAGGUGCCAAUUCCAGCGGGGAUUGCCCGGAAGAUGA